AUUUUUUAUAAUAAAUGGUGUUAAUAUAAGAAUGAUUAAUAAUAGUAAAACCAGUAAUUAAUAUGAACAGAGAAAUAUGUAAUUGCAAAAGUAACUUUAAGAUUUUUUUAAUUGUCUUUUAGCUUUUUAUUUAUUCAUUAUUACUUCGUGUAAAUAACAAUAUUUAAUAGCAAUUUAUUUAUUUAUUUAUUCUCUCUUUUUCUUUCUCCUAGCUACAUCUCUCAUAUAAGAACAUAUACAGAUUACAUCUCAUAAGAAAGUCUCGAAAGUUGCGAAAGAAAGGUUUAUAUUGUAAUAAGACAGGAUGGAUGAUAAGAAAGUCUCGCAUCUUUGAAGAUUUAAUUGGCAAAGAAAGUACAACGUGCUCUUGGCGACAACCCAACAAUUCUGCCUAAUUCAUGGCCCGCUUCAUAUUGCUCAUAAACAAAAGUAAAUUAUUGAGGGGAAGAUAUCACGCAUCACUUUCUGCACUCGCUUGCAUAAAACCACUUAUCACAAUAUAAGAAGCUGAUAACAGCGUCUGUCCCGCGUACAUAUAUGAAGAUAACUCAAGUUGCGUAAGAGCAUGCAGGAGUAGGUCGUGUACUCAUUUCACUCGAAGAGUGCAGUAUGCCAGUAACGACACACGACGUGCGCGAAACCAGAAACAUUUUCGGAUAGUAACGUCCACCGUUACGUGUUUUAGCUCGGUAUUCGUUGCAUUCGUAAUUAAGCAACCAAUUAAAACGAUACGAGUGCGUGACUAAUUGAGGAGCCGAUAACGACUCGAGCGAAUCGCGAACGUGGAAAGAGGAGAGGUGUGUUCCUGACGAGUACCGCGGCGGACGACGGAACGUCGCGGCGUCAUUGCAAAGCACCCGGGAGUACCUAAUGAAUUUCAUUAACGACGACGAUGAUUAAACUGUUUCAGAUCUAUUUCAUACCUUCGAUGGGGAGUGCGAAAGCAAUCGCGGCCACAACCAAAAGGGCGAACACGUAGAUCUUCAU